rnacentral:rRNA from 1 species
CAACGAGUCGCAAACUCGCGAGAGUAAGCUAACCUCUUAAAGCCGUUCUCAGUUCGGACUGUAGGCUGCAACUCGCCUACACGAAGUCGGAAUCGCUAGUAAUCGCGGAUCAGCAUGCCGCGGUGAAUACGUUCCCGGGCCUUGUACACACCGCCCGUCACACCAUGGGAGUUUGUAACGCCCCAAGUCGGUGGCCUAACCUUUAUGGAGGGAGCCGCCUAAGGCGGGACAGAUGACUGGGGUGAAGUCGUAACAAGGUACC